GAUGGAGAACGUAGCGAAAUGCGAUACGUAGUGUGAAUUGCAGAAUUCAGUGAAUCAUCGAAUCUUUGAACGCACAUUGCACCUCUCGGUAUUCCGGGAGGUAUGCCUGUUCGAGCGUCAUUUGUACCCUCAAGCUCUGCUUGGUGUUGGGUGUUUGUUCCGCCUCUGUGUGUGAACUCGCCUCAAAACAAUUGGCAGCCGGCGUACUUGUUUCGGAGCGCAGCACAUUUUGCGAUCCAGAUCAACGUACAGCGGCAUCCAAGAAGCCUUAUUUAACGCUCUUGACCUCGGAUCAGGUAGGGAUACCCGCUGAACUUAAGCAUAUCAAUAAGCGGAGGA
rnacentral:misc_RNA from 1 species